CAGUAGCCGCGGGAAUACGAGGGGGGCAAGCGUUGUUCGGAAUUAUUGGGCGUAAAGGGUGCGUAGGCGGCUUGACAAGUCUUGUGUGAAAUCUAUGGGCUCAACCCAUAGUCUGCACGGGAAACUGUCGGGCUUGAGAAUGGGAGAGGUGAGUGGAAUUUCCGGUGUAGCGGUGAAAUGCGUAGAUAUCGGAAGGAACACCUGUGGCGAAAGCGGCUCACUGGACCAUAACUGACGCUGAUGCUCGAAAGCUAGGGGAGCAAACAGGAUUAGAUACCCCCGUAGUCCCUGUCUCUUAUAC
rnacentral:rRNA from 1 species